CUAGUUCCUGGUUACUGCUGAUAGAGGUACAGCUCGUGUGGGAAUUUUGUUAGAAAUGAGCCAGGUAUCUUGUUUUCAGAAAUUCCAGUUGAAUUCUAAGCAAAUGAGAAGGUGAACUUAAAGCUAUUUUUCUUUAAAUAAGGCAAAAUGCAAACAAUAUGAAAGAAGGCAGGCGUACAGUGUGUGUGUAUUGGGAGAGACUGUAGCUGACCACCUCGAAUACCAGAUCUGCCUGCGUCUCUCUUUGGUUGCCAUGGCAGUUACCGUAACAAUUUCCCUCUCCACAACAAAGGCCACUGGUGUUCGCAAUCAGAGACCGCGUUUUCCUCUUUCCAGCCCUUGAGCAUGUUAAAGGGCAGGCUCGGGUUUUCACUCAGCGGUGACUCUGACUUGCAGUGCAGCAGUGCAGCUGUCUUCCUGAGCUCCGAGGAUGUAUUCGUUAAUAAGCGUGCAGGGAUGAUGAGCACACUCAGCGACGUCCCCCGGAGCGGAGCACGGAAUCCGCUGCGUGCACAUCUCCAAGCACAGAGACUGCUCGGUUUUCACGGCUGCUCUGUUCAGCUGGUAAGAACCCUAUUAGCAGCCCUUUAAUCCCUAAAUCUUUAAUUGCUUUACUCCCUUGUGGCUCUGUGACAUCACUAAUAAUUACCAACUGAUCUCUGCCUUGCUUUGCGCUGGGUUUGUUUUCCCUCCCAGUCACAUUGCUGGGACAGUCUUGCCAGCUUUCCCCCUUUGAAAAUGGUAAGGCCACCAACAUCCCUUAGUGGCCUGUUCGGAAAACAAUUAACAGUCCCGGCUGCCAGUGAAACACCUACAAGAGCAUUUUUUUUUCCAGGCGUCAGAGGAUAGGUGCAAAUUUACCAUGUGUGUAGGUGCCUGUUUCUCAUGCCUGUAGCUAAUGUGCAAGAGCAUUAGUACUAUUGGGUUAGGGUGUAACUGGAAGAUUGUGGUUUAAAAUUCCAUGUUUUUCUCAUGGGUGUGCAUGUAAAUCGGUUUGGUUAAAAUGACUCGGUUAAACUGAUAAUCUGCCACACCGGAAACGAAAAGGCUGCAGAAAACAGUUUCUCUUUUGUAAAGAGCCCAGUUUUAAUCACAAAUACAAACCAUGUGCUUUUGGAAGAGGUCCUUGGUGUAUCCUGUAAACUUGCAGGCUAUAAAAACCACAAUAACGACCACUGCAGAGAAGAAUUUACAGUUUGUCAUAUAGACACAUGACUGCCGACCUCUAAUGUUAAAUGCUAUUAAGGCGUUAAUUCAUAGAACUCAAGCCAGAACUCAAGCUUUCACCUCUUGUCGAAAAAACGUAUACUGGCAUAAUUAGAUCUGUUGGGGGCCACGAUCUAUAUUUUUUUUACGAUAAGCCUAGCCUAUUUUAAGAUGCACCUGAAAAUCUUCAUUAUAUAUAUUUUAGCUCCUACGUGGGGAGCUUACAGGCUGCUCCGUUCCCUUUGACCAUGCACAAGCAAGGCGGGCUGGGAACAGCGCCUGAGGGGCGGGACUUGGGGGAACCGGACUGUGAGGCGGCUUCUUCUCUCCUGUGUGUGUGUUAUUAUAGGUGCAGCGCUGUCCCCACGUGUGUACCUUUCCCCAGUUCUGGUUAAUAAAUGUUGUUCAACCCCUUUUCCUGAGUCCUACGCCUGCUCCAUUCCAUGCCGAACCUCGCGGUCGUUACAUUGGUGUCAACAGUGGGAUCGGAGAGGAGUUCUGAGCGCGGAGAGACGCCGGUGAACGCAGAGAGAGGCCUGGUGUGCCCCAGCGGGAGCGGCGCAGUGAAAGGCUUGGCACGCGGAGAGAGGCCUGAUGGGGAGAGCCCCAGCAGGAGUGGCGCGGCGCGGUGAAAGUCCUGGCACGCAAAGAGAGGACCAGUGCGCGGAGAGCCCCAGCGGGAUUGGCGCGGAGAGAGGCCAGGCGCGCGGAGAGUCCCAGCAGCACGCUCAACUCUCAGGUGGGGGCAGUGUAGCGCCCAUGUGGGUGCUUAACGUCUGCUUAAUUCCCUUUGGUCAUGCGCCCCCAGGGCGGGCUGGGAACAGCGCCUGAGGGGCGGGACUGGGGAAAACUGGACUGUAUGGGGGGGGGCGUGAGGCUCCCUCUUCUCUCCCGUGUCAGUAGUAGUGCAGUGCUGCAACCCCUGUCCCUGUGUGUACCUUUCCCCGGUUCUGGUUAAUAAAUGUGUUGUUCAACUCCUUUUCCUGAGUCUUACGCCUGCUCUAUUCCGUGCCGAACCCUGCGGUCGUUAAAAUAUCUUGCCCAUAAGCGUGUUUCAACAAGAUGCAUCACACCACUCCCGCCUACGUAGUCAGCACACGCCUAAGAUAAACUGUAUUACGGAGGUGACACACAAUGUGCACUCAAAACACUUCAUU
rnacentral:lncRNA from 1 species